GUCGAUAUUGAACUCAAUUUAGUUACGAGGACUAAAAUCACUUUCUGGUCUGCACCGAGGACUAAAACGCACUUUCACUGAGUUCAUAUUUUACAUAGAUAGUUUAAGCCAGGUGACGUCAGUUUCAGUGACGUGGCAAUUCCCAAUUGGGCAUCAAUGUCGAGCUUUGAAGAAAGCUUUGCAUCUUCGACGUUGCCAUCCCCGGCGGUAAACCUAAUCCCAUUCUCACCGCGCGAGAUCCCUCGCCGGCAUCGGCUUCUCGCCGGAGCUCCAUCCAUCCAUCAAUGGCGACCCUCUCUGCCUUCGUAUACGUGACCCUCGGCCUUCUCCUCCUCGUCCUCCUCGCCUCUUACUCUCCUUCUUCCCGCCUCCAUCACCACGGCUCCCACCGCCGCCUCAAACUCCGCGAUCCCGCCGCCCCGCCGUCACCCCCUGGUCGCCACCAUGCCGCACCUUUCGACCCCCUUAUUGCUGAGAUCGAGCUUCACCGUGAUGAUCGCGAGUGGGAGCGCACCCACUUUGACAUGCCCGCCGCCCCCGGCCACGAACCCCAGCCGGAAUGGGAGGACUUUAUUGACGCCGAGGACUACAUCAAUGAUGAGGAUCGAUUCAAUGUCACUCACCGUAUUGUCCUCUUGUUCCCCAAGAUCGAUGUCGCCCCGAUUGACGGCCGCAUCAGCCUGGAUGAACUCACGGAUUGGAAUCUUCAGCAGGCCGGACGUGAGGUGAUGCACCGGACAAAGAGGGACAUGGAUCUGCACGACAAGAAUCACGAUGGGUUCGUUUCGUUUGACGAGUAUGAGCCGCCGUCCUGGUCUCUGAAUGCUGAAGAUGGCUCAACUUGGUGGAAGAGAGAGCACUUUGAUGCUUCAGAUGUAGAUGGGAAUGGUGUUUUAAAUCUCACUGAAUUUAAUGACUUCCUCCAUCCAGCAGAUAGCAGUAGCCCCAAGCUGAUUCAUUGGUUGUGCAAAGAAGAGAUAAGGGAGAGAGACAAAGAUAAUGAUGGGAAGCUAAACUUUCAGGAGUAUUUCCAUGGCUUGUUUGACUCAAUCCGGAAUUAUGAAGAUGCUUACAAUCAGUCAGAUUCAAUGGAGGCACCAGCUAAUAAAUUAUUUAAAGAACUUGACAAAGAUAAUGAUGGGUUUCUGUCUGUUGAUGAACUGAUUCCUGUAAUCGGUAAUCUUCACCCUUCGGAGCGUUACUAUGCAAAACAACAAGCUGAGUAUGUGAUAACACAGGCAGAUGCAGAUAAAGAUGGCCAACUCAGUUUGAAAGAGAUGGUCGAGCACCCGUAUGUAUUCUAUAGUUCAAUUUUCACCGAGGACGAUGAUGACAGUGACUAUCACGAUGAAUUCCGCUAAUUAUCAGGUUGUUGUAACAAAACAAAACACGGAAGAACCAUAGAAUGAUCAAUGAUGUUGCUGAAAUGGCAGUCUUUCCCUCUUAGUUCAUCCUCAAAUGUGGUUUUCUUUGUCAUAGUUGUUGAGAGUAGGUUCUGUAAUAUUCGAUUUUCUUCGACGGAUUCAUUCUUUAUUCUGUUUAUUGUGCUCUGCAGCUGAUCUAAUUGA